CAAUUCUGAGAUAGAGUUAUAAAAAGACUGUGGCUUCCAUCUGGAGUGAUCACUCUCAGGGAAGCCAGUGGCCAUGUCCUAAGGCAGCCGUUGGGCGGGGGGGGGGGGGGGGGGGGGGACAUCCACAAGAGUUCUUACAAGGGGACCUUCUGAGGCCCGCUGGCCACCACGGGAGCAAGCUUGGAAGCAGACCUUCCCUGAGGUGAGCCAUGAGAAGACUAGAGCCCUGACCACAGCCUGAUGACACCUCGUGAGAGAUCUUAUGUCACAAGCACCCGGCUAAGCUGGGCCCAAUUUCCCGACCACAGAAACUGUGUGAGGAUAAAUGUUUAAGCAGCUAAAUUUUACGGUGUUUGUUAGAUCACUGAUCUAACAAAAGAUCACUGAUCUAGAGGAGAAACUUGGAGAUCUGCAGUUCCUGACAUUUCCAAGUUGGAGAAGAGGCAAAGUGGGUUGGAGACUCUGAGAAUUCUUGGGCCAGGGGGUCCUGGGUCUUAGCUGGCUUGGAUCUCAUCAUAUUCCAGAGCCAGACAGAGCCUCGGGGGGCGGGGGCGGAAUCUUCACAUCUCUUUUUUCAUUGAUAUAGCCCCAGGGUCUUGUCUUGUGUCUGGCAUACGGUAGGGACUCAAGAAAUAAAUGCCAGUUGACAUAGGAAUGACUACAUGUUUGCAGUAAGUGUUGGUGACAUUGUGAAUCCCUCCAGGGUGAAUGGGGGGGAAAGGUGGGGGUUCAAGCACAGAUGCCACACAGGCCCUGGAAGAGCAUAGUGACCAGAAGGUGUUUGUUUCCUCAGCUAGGAAGGGAGGGCUGGUCCUGAGGCAGUUAGCACCAUGUUAUCGCUAACUUUGCUCUUAGGGACUGAGACGGUCUUGCCCUGGGCAGCAGCAGUGAUGCUCCCAGGAAUCAGGAGCAAGAACUCUUUUGCACUUGUGGGUUUUGACAUGAAGUACCACUCCCUCCACCCAGGAGGUGAGCCAGCUGGAGGAGUUCGUGGCAAGUGACCCGGGAGGCCUUUCCUCUUUGUGGAAACCCAGGUGCGUGGGCAGACAGGUGCUGCAAAUGUUGCGGCCCGUGAUGCCAACUCAGCCUGCGUUUCCUGUGCCCGGACCUCUCCCAUGCCCGGCACCACCACCCACCGAGGUCCCGGGGUGCCCCUUCACACACAGCCCAGCCAAGCCAAAAGCAUUCCUGUAAAUAUGUCUCGAGCAGGGGAGCCAGGCCCCAGUGAGCACCCUCCCCCGGGAUAUGCAAAUGUCUUAAUGUUCCUGCAAGGCGGUGAUGCCACCACCCUGGCUCCUCUCCCUUAUACGGUUUCCUGGAGAUCAUGCCGGUAAGAAACAGGAGAGGAACCUCUUUUGUCUUUAUCCCUCUGAGAGGGAGCAAGAGGACAGCUCACCGAAGGCUAGGAGAAAGACAUUAGCAGAGGGAUCAUCAGACCUUGGGGUUGUUACUUCCUCCCCCAAACGCAAAGGCCAGGAGCCGUCAGUUCAGUCUUCACUCUGCCUUUUCUCUUGAAAAUUACAUAACCAGCCAGGGAGAACAAAGACUUUCCGGGCCUCCCAACGAUACUGACAGAGCACGGAGAGAAAUUCUGGCAGCCUCGCCCGGAGUGCCAAGCCCACGUCGACGCAAAGCUGGGGAGGGGAGCAGUGUGGGUCCCUGCGUGUGACCUGUGGGUGCUGGUCGCCACUGGCUGCACAGACUAGACCUGUCCAGGCUUGAGGCUGAAAGAAACCUGGGAUAGCUGAAGACGUCUUUCAAAAUCGAAAUCAGGACACUUCUAACAUCCGUGGCGAAAUACGCUUCCAGAUCAUCACUGACAAACUCAGGAUGCGAAACGCGGAUUGUUUAUGAGACUGGGUGCAGGCUGCCUCCUCAGGCUCACUGGCCUACCGCCCUGCUUUAAGAAUGGCCACACCGAAAGAUCGCGCCGCUGAGACGUCUCCUUAGGAACUAUUUUGCCUGGUCUCUUCUGGAAGCCUCAGCUGCUGCACACAGCUCUUUCACUGUUUGGUUGCCCCGUGGAUAGCAAUAAAAUCAAGAUGAAAACUCAUUUGCAAAGCAA